AGGGCCCGCAGCUUCCGGCACUGGAAGAGCUCCGGAGGGAGCGUCUCGAUCUGGAGGGAAAAAAGCAGGGAUGGGGUAACUGAGGCCCAAAGACGCUGACUUGUCCAGAGGUUCAGCUGGUAAGUGAUGGAGCCAGGAUUUGAACCCGGUUCAACAGCCCAUGCUCUGGUGAACCGUCCACACUGUUAGCGGAGCAAGGAGCAAACAGGGGGCUGCAGUGGGUUCGUGCUGUCUCCUGGCACACAGGAAGAGCCUCACGUAUGCCAGCUUCUUCCCUGCCCUGCUGCGAGGAAUCAGCUGGGGCCAUGAGUUCUUACUGCGUGUAAGUAAGGCCAUGAGUUGAGCCUGCCCGUCCCGAGGCUGCCUCCUUCAGAUGGGAUGGGCAGGAGGGCAGGAGCCAGGAGCCCUGGGCCUUGAUCCCAAGUGAGGAUGAUGGGGAGAUGGCACAGCAGCCCUUCUGAGCUUGCUCUAUCACCGCCCCCAUUUUCCUGCCAAGGAGACUGAGGCCCAGAGAGAUGACACGCCACUCGUCUGAGGUUGCAGCCUCUCCGAAAGGGUCAGGAGAGGAUGUACGUCUUAUUUCCUCCCACUCAGAGCCCAUGCUGUAUUUCCCUUCUGCCAAAUAUGGCACUCAGUUACAGGGUAACUCUGGAAGUCCCUCCCUCUCUGGGCCUCAGUUUCCCCAUUUGUAAAAGGCACAGGUUGGACUAGAAACUGAGCUUGGACACUCUGUGGCUGAGGACCGUUUUGCAGACUCGGACCUCAACCUCACGGGCACCUGCUCUCUCCAGCCGCGUUUAGAGAAGGGCCCAGGAGUUCCUGGGGAGCAACGUGGCUUUCCCAGCAGGGAGAUAAGCAUGGCCAAGGCCCGGCAGAGUGCUUUUUCUUUUUUUUUGGGGGGCGGGGGCGGGGGACGGAGUCUCACUCUGUCACCCAGAGAGUGCAGUGGCGCAAUCUUGGCUCACUGUAAUCUCCACCUCCCAGGUUCAAGUGAUUCUCCUGCCUUAGCCUCCCGAGUAGCUGGGAUUACAGCCGCAUACCACCAUGCCCGGCUAAUUUUUGUAUUGUUUGCAGAGACGGGGUUUCAUUAUGUCGGCCAGGCUGGUCUUGAACUCCUGACCUCAGGUGAUCUGCCCGCCUCGGCCUCCCAAAGUGUUGGGAUUACAGGCGUGAGCCACCAUGCCCAGCCCAGGCACAGGGGGUGCUUUCAAAAAGGCUCCUAACCUGUGUAUCCUACACUGCCACCACUGUGACCAAGGAUCAGGAAUGCAUUUGGGGUUGGCUUUGAGGUCAGCAGGGGCUGAAGGUCAGAGGGUAGACAGGAAGUGGGCUCUGGAGCACCCAGGGGCCAGAGCCUUCCCAGAAAGACCCCACUCCCACCCCGUGAUCUCCUCUGCUGACACAUGCAGUGGUCAGGGACAGUGGGAAAGCUCUGGACAGCGAGUGGCAGAGCUCGGGUCCAUAUGGAGCCUGGCUCUGGAGCCCCCUCCCUGAAAGGCCUCCUCCCCAGAACAUGCCCUGCUCUGAGCCAGGGAGCCCUCUCCAGGCCCCAGAGAGAAAAGGGGAGGUACUCUCAGUUGCUCGGCUCCCACCACAGCCACACCCAUCCUCUGGACCGAUCCUUCUCUGCUGGAUUGUCGGAUUGUCGCCGGCCCGUGCCCUGGAGGCUUGAAGUUGGUUCCCAAUCCCCCAAUUGCACCCUCUCCUACCUCCCCAGAGACUUCAGUGGGUCCCCAUCGGCACUGAAAGGCCUCAACUCGACCUGAUCUUUGAAAAGGACAACUCUCUCAGGAGGCUUCCAGGGCCCCAGCGUUGUCCUUGGCUCUCUGGCCUUCCUGACCAACUGCAGGAAAGCCGCUGUCUCUCUCCUCACUCUGCCUCCAUGACCCUGUCCACCCUUAACUCUCUGGCCAAAGUCACCAGUUCCUAAUCCAGCCAACUCCCCAGGCCCCAUGUGCCCCACGCUCUGGCCUCGCCCUCCUCUUCUGCAGACUCCUGUCCUUCUCCCUCUCUGCUCUCCACAGUGAGCAAGUCAAGGACCCAUCUUCACCCAUGAGCCUGGAAAGGGUGACUCCUUGGGCUUCAGGUGGAUUCAAGAUGGUCCCUUGGACAUCCCAGAGCCCCAGACACCUGACAUGAGACACACCUUGGCCUCUGAAAACCUGUGCUUCCUCCAGUCUCAACAAUCCACAAAAAAAAGCUCAAGUCACUCAGACCACCCCCACCAUCAACUCCCGUCCCUUUGAAUUCCCCCUCCAGCGUCUCCCAGAUCCGUCCAUGUCUCUCCAUCCCUACCUGCCUUGGCCACGCCAGGCCCCGUGGCCUCACCUGAUGGCUAAUCGUGGUCUCUUAACAGCUCUCUUCCACCUCCCACCUCUCACUCACCCCACCCCACACACUACCGCAAGAGGAACCUCACGCUGCAAGUCAGCUCAUUCCUUCACCCACUCAAUCACUAGGAAUUCGGUAAACACUUGCUUGAACAAAAGAGCUAGGUCUUAGUCAUCAGAGCCUAUGGGCUGGCAAGGGAUCGGCUGUUAAACAAAUGAAGAGACAAUUGAAACUGAGGUGUAGGACAGGACCCCCCUGCCAUCCACACCCCCCCCCAUAGCCCCACCUCUGCUCUCCAGGAUGCCCACAUUCCUGGGCAGCCCAUCUCACUGCUCCUCCCCACCAGAACCUCCUGGACUGUCCCUUUCCCCUCCACCUGGCUUCCUCCUCCUCGUUCUUCAGGGGCCUGUUCCUCUGUGUUCCCAGGGACCUGGUGCUCCAGCAGAGCGCCUACGCACUGUGCUAACUGCCUCGUUACUUGGCCUUCUUCAUCCCCAUGUCCCCGGCGCCUUGCUCCAUAGCUGGAUUCUAGAAGUGCUCAAAAAACAUCUGCACAAAGGCCAGGCGAAGUGGCUCAUGCCUGUAAUACCAGCACUUUGGGCGGCCAAGGUGGGAGGCUUUGAGGCCAGGAGUUUAAAGACCAGCCUAGAAAACACAGUGAGACCCUGUCUCUACCAAAAAAACAAACAAACAAAACAUAACAAUUUGCACACAUCAGUAAACGAGUGAACGAAUGAAUACUGUCUUGUCAAGGCUUUCAUUAGCAAGAGUAUAAAUCUGGAGAAACAGCACGCAAGGGCGUGGGCAGGCCACGCCCACCCCUCCUGGUCACCACUGGCCAAGGUGGCUGAGAAGGAGCCAUCAAGCCCGAGUGAGGAGGAAGAGGGGCUCAGGCCUCCCACUCAGAAUGAGGGGCCUGCCUGGGGUUGGCCCAAGUGAACUGUUUUCCCUAUUAAGGCUCUGGUGUUCCAGGGGGUGGGGACAGGAUGUGAUUAAGCCAUGUGCUAAACAGGGUGUCCAGAGGGUCUCCUUCCUCUGGGACAGCGUGCUUGCCGCCAGCUCCUUUCCUGAGGGGUGACCUCAGCCAGCAGGCAUGACACUAACAGGCAAGCUUGGCGGGAGGAGCUGGGGGUGGGGGACAGGAUGGGGAGCCAGGCUGGAGGCUUGAACCCUCCCCCAACCAGGAGGACAGCCCCAGCACAGCACCCGGGACAGGGCAGGAAUGGCAGGAGCUGUGAGGAAGUCCCAGCUUAUCAAGGGCAGCACUGUGCUAUGGGGAAGCCACAGGGUCUCCCCCUCCACAGAUUAAAGAAGGGCUGGGUUUGUUCUGUGCUUCCCAAAUGUGGCUUCUCCCCAGGGGACUCCAGUUUUCCUAUUCAGUGGGCCUGUCCCGAAACUACAAGAGAAAACCCUGCCCUGGUCCACUCUCCCACUGUGCUCAAGUCAUAAUAUGGGGUGGCCGGAGAUAAGGACUUGUCAAAAUCCCUGAUACAUGUGGGUUGCAGGUUGCUCUGCAGUAAGGGAGCCCUGGGGAAGAGGGGAGGAAGGCUUCCAAGCCAGCAGGCAUCUGGAGGGCCUGAAGCAUCUAGUCUGAGUGAUGCUGGAGAAGGUGUGUCCUGUCCUGGGGCCCAGGAGGACAGACAGGGCAUUCCAGGGGCCACCUCCCUCCGUGCCUGAGGAUACUAUAGACAGACCGGGCAUUCCAGGGGCCACCUCCCUCCGUGCCUGAGGAUGCUAUAGACAGACCCUGUUGGGAGGACUCAGCAGGUUGGUGGAAGGAGGACAGGUGCAUCAUGCCUGGCACAGGGCGAACACAGAGCAGGUGCCCACGAAACCAACAGGGACUGCACCGUGGGGCUGCUGCAUGGCAGAUGCACCCAACAGCAACAACCGAACUAAGAAACGCGGGUUGCCACACGGAGGCUGCAGAGGGGAGGGUGCUUAGUGAAAAUGCUCUAUGAGCUGCACGCUUUUUAUAAGCAGGAGUGGUUUUCCUAUUUGGCUCACUGCUGCUGGACCACCCUGUAAGUAAGUUCCCCCAAAUAAACCCCAUGUUUCAAUGGCCGGCUCCAGGGCUCUUCAUUUUACUUUGAGACUGGGUCUCACUCUAUUGCCCAGGCUGAAGUACAGUGGUACAACCAUAGCUCACUGCAGUCUUGAACUCCUAGGCUGAAGCGAUCCUGCCUCAGCCUCCCAAAUAGCUGGGACUACAGGCACAUGCCACCAUGCCUGGAUCAUUUCUGUAUUUUUGGUAGAGAUGGGGUUUCCCUAUGUUGCCCAGGCUGGUCUCGAACUCCUGAGCUCAAGUGACCGCCCCACCUUGGCUUCCCUAAGUGCUCGGAUUACAGGUUUGACCCACUGGGCCUGGUCAACUCCGAGUCUCUUCUUCAGCCUCCUGAACCUGGUGGCAUCCCUAGUGAAGUUCACAGGGGCCCGGCACGACAGCUGCUGCUGUGUCGGGGGCAGAAGGGUGGCUGGCUGGGCUCUCCCUUGUCUCCCAGCGCCUGGCCUCAGGCUUCCUCCACCACAUGUCUCACUACAGGAAUCUCCACCUGGAUGUGAGGCCCAGGAAAACCUGCAGGUCCCCAGGACGGGUGGAAGAGGGACGUUCCCCACAAUGGCAGUGGCUUUGUUUCCAUUUCGGAGGCCAGACCACAGAGCCACAGGAGUACCCAGCCCUCCAUCCACACUGCCUGCCUCCACCAAGGGGCCCUUGGAUGGGGGCUUCCCCAGCCAGAAGGGCAGGCAGAAACAAACUAGCCCCAUCUAGGCCCAACUCUGCCUCUGACACCACCAAAUGCAGUGGAGAAAGGUGUGUGGGAGCUGCAGAGACCAUCCAAGGCUUCCCCUCAGCCAGCACUGGCCACCCACACAGUUUCUGUCCUGGGUGGACCCGGAUUGGCUCCUUGCCUCCAAGUCCGACUGGGAACAAGCUGAGGAAGACACAAACUCCAGGCUAAGUCUUGACUCCCACCACCCGGCUUUGCGAGAGAACCCCCGGGUUUGGACCUCCUGCCCAAGCACAUCCCUGCUGAAGAGGAACCCGGCUCAAGGUCACCUUGGGGGACAGACCUUGCCUGGCCAUGCAGUCUCUCCAGGCAGGAGAACUGCAACAUUUUGGAGCAAAGACAGGCCCGGGGCCCAGAGAUUCGGAUUCAGCAGGCCUGGGAUGGGGCCCAAGGAGUCUGUCUCUUGAACAGAGCUUCUAUCCUGGAUGGUUCUGUAAACCCCAGGUGAGGACUCCACACUCAGGGGCAUCGACGGUCCCAGGACACUGAGCCUGCCGAGUGCCCCACCACAAGCCCUGGCCAGGCCACCCGCCAGCCCACACGCAGAGCUGUGGCCGGGCCACUCACCCGGUUG